rnacentral:ncRNA from 1 species
CAAGCUGAAGUCAAAUUAGAAUACUUGCUGAACUUAAGCAUAUUAAUAAGCAAAGGAAAAGAAAUCAACUGAGAUUGCCUUAGUAAUGGCGAAUGAACCGGCAAAAGCUCAUUGCUGAAGCGUGUUAAAUUCACUUUUGACAUGCAUUGUAGCAUUUGGGGUGACUAUUGUAUGGUGCCUGUUCGUGUGAGUUCCUUUGAUCAGGGCUUUAACCAUAGAAGGUGCUAGUCCUAUAAUCACGAAUAGUUUGUGCCGUACAUUGUACACCUUUCGAGUAGCGUAGUUUGAGAUUGCUACGCCAACGUGGGACGUAAACUUGUUCCAAAGCUAAAUAUUAUAACGAGACCGAUAGCGAACAAGUACCGUGAGGGAAAGUUGAAAAGCACUCUGAAGAGAGAGUUAAAUAGUACGUAAAACCGUACAGAAGAAAACGAAUGGCCGCAUUCAUCAGAUUACUUUGGAUUCAAUUUGAUCUCUAUAUGAUGGUAAUACAUGUCAAUUGUGAACUUCAACAGUCCAUUGAUAUGUUGAUUGCCUGGAGUCGAAUGCAUUUUCAAAGUAUUAACUGAACCUGGAUCUAUAACAGAAGCUAGUUGAAUCAGCCUAUUUUGGUAGCGAGUUUACUCGUGUUAAAAAUAUGGCUUGCAUAAAUAACAAAUUCGACUUGGCGUUAUAGGUAAACAGACAAGUUUUUUGAUUUCAGUACUUUCGAGUACGGCAUGUCAUGAGCAUUGUUUGUGUCACAUAAGUAACUAAGAUCUAAAAAAUCUUAGUUUUAUUUAUCGUCGAUGCCUAAUGUUUUGUGGCUGUCAAUGAAAUCGGCAAGUCUACAGGAGUUUUGAAUGCCGAGUUAUUCGACCCGUCUUGAAACACGGUCUAAGGAGUUCACUGCAUGUGCAAGAGUUCGGCUGUAUGAAAAGCCUUGCUCGUAAUGAAAGUAAAGAACAUUCUUGCAAUGUUUUAAGUGUGAUUUCUGUCAUCUGGUGCAAAUCAUGACAAUGAACGCAACACUGACAGGUUCUAUUGCCGUUGGCAAAGAGCUUAGUAAGAGUAUAUGCAAUGAGACCCGAAAGAUGGUGAACUUAAUGUGUGUAGAAUGAAGCCAGGGGAAACCCUGGUGGAAGUUCGUAGCGGUUCUGACGUGCAAAUCGAUCGUCAAACAUGCAUUAAGGGGCGAAAGACUAAUCGAACCAUCUAGUAGCUGGUUCCGUCCGAAGUUUCCCUCAGGAUAGCUGGCAUUCAUUUUUUACAGUUAUAUCCGGUAAAGCGAAUGUUUAGAGGCAUUGGGCGUAAAAUACGCUCAACCUAUUGACAAACUUUAAAUGGGUAUGAAGUUCAUUUUUCUACUUCAUUGAGAAUGAACAGCGAAUGUGAGUGCCAAGUGGGCCAUUUUUGGUAAGCAGAACUGGCGCUGUUGGAUGCACAAAACGUCAAGAUAAAGAGCCAGAUGGUCUCGCUCAUCAGAUACCAUAAAAGGUGUUGGUCGAUAUAGACAGCAGGACGGUGGCCAUGGAAGUCGGAAUCCGUUAAGGAGUGUGUAACAACUCACCUGCCGAAUCGACUAGUCCUAAAAAUGGAUGGCGCUCGAGCGAGCCUCUUAUACUUGACUGUUACGAUACAAUAAGCCAUUCUUACGGACAUCAUGUCGUAACAAGUAGGACGGUUGAUAUGGUUGCGUCGAAGGCUAACACGUGAGUGUGGCUUGAGCAGUCAUAUGUACAGAUCUUAGUGGUAGUAGCAACUAUUCAAAUGAGAACUUUGAAGACUGACGUGGAGAAAGGUUCCAUGUGAACAGCUAUUGGACAUGGGUCAGUCAGUCCUAAGAUGCGCUCGAAAGAGGGUUCCGAACGAGGAAUAUUUAUAUUCAUACAUACAUAUAUUCCAUCAAAUCGAAAGGGAAACAAGUUAAUAUUCUUGUACUAAGUGUCGGAGAUUGUUUGAUUUCUUGUCAAACAUAUGUGGUAACACAAACAAGCUCAAAUACAUCAUAAGUGGUCCUGGAAAGAGUUUUCUCUUCUUUGUUACUUCAUCAGACGACCCUGGAAUCAGUUCAACUGGAGAUAGGGUUCAAAUGAAGGUAAAGAGUAGCCGUUCUUGCUACUUCCUCGGUGCAUCAUUUAUGAUCCUUGAAAAUUUGAGCGAGAUAAUCAAUUUCGCACUUAUCUGUACUCUAAACCGCAUCAGGUCUCCAAGGUGAAAAGCCUCUAGUCAAUUAGAACAAGGUAGCACAAGGGAAGUCGGCAAAAUCGAUCGGCAACUUCGGGAUAACGAUUGGCUCUAAGUGCUAGGGUGUUCGGGCUUGAUGAU